GGUUUUUUAUUAUAUAAGGUGGUCAAACAAUUGCCUACUUGUCACAUAAAAAGGUAGAACACAAUGGCUAAAACUCUCAAGGUUGUUUAUACUGUGAUUCUUUUAGUGUCUCUAUUUCUUCUUUUAAUCGCCGCUAGUGCAAAACAGGAUUGUAAGUCACACAAUGAUUGUAAAACAUAUCCGUGUCCCACUUCUAAAGUCAAGCAGUGCGUUAAUGGUUAUUGUAGAUGUGUUAGGUAACACUUAAGUUAAAACUCAUUUAUCUGUUAUGUUAAAGUCUUUAAUUUUCUUUACUAAUCGUAAUGUUGUUGUUGUUAUAUAUGAUUUCUCUCAUAAUUUUUUAUAUAUUUCUUUCGAACUUUCAAUUUCCUUAAUAGCUUUAGAAUCAUAUAAAAAAUUUAUUAAGACUUAGGUGUUUGAUAUAUCAUCUAAAAAACUUAGAAGUUAAGUUUAGACUUCAUGAGAGGAGAGUGAUUUAUUGAGUUUUACACUUUAGGGUGUUGUCCAUAGGAUGUCUUCCUACAACUAUAUACUAUAUUGAUCGAUUACUUGAUAGUAUCGUCUUUGUGAGAUUGCACACAAUACAUAUAAUCUAGAGGGGUGUUGCAAUUUGCAUAUGACAUAAAGCAUAACCUUUCCAUACAAGUUUUCCUACAUUAGUUUGGCACCACAUGAAUUUCAAGGACUGCAUUUUGAGCAUUGAAAGAUCAUCCAUUUAUAUCAUGUAAUAUUAUACUGUCGUGAUAUUUGUGAUCAUGCUAAAUAUGUUUCGUGAAUGCAUGGUCAUCUAUUUUUAACUUAUUCAUUCAUUUAACAUGAUGUAAGAUCUACUCACGUCUUUUAUGUCUCCUCUUAUUAUAUAUUUGUAUGUAGAGUUUAUUGAUGACAAACAUCAAUGGAGAUUGUGGAAUCGAGAUCUGUACUUAGCUUAAUUUUAUUUUGAGUUUUUUUAAUAUUGUUGUAUGAGUAGAGAUUCGUUAACUUCAAAUGCAACUCUAAAUUUAAUUACAAGAUUUAAAGUUGUUUGAAUUCCUCAAGAUUUAUUGUUAUUAUUUGUUUUAUCU